CACGAGUCGUGCUGCCUCCCAGAGUCCCGGUUCACCCCUCCCACGCGCCGCACCCAAUCCCCUCCUCCCGCACGCCUCGCACCUAAUCGCCUCCAUGAACCCUAGCCCCCAAUGGAUGGGACGCCACACCCUCACUCCUCCCCAGCAGCCUCCAAACCCCCCGCCUCCACCGGAUCCAAGGCGUGCGGCCACGGAGGCGAGCCUCUCCGGCGACGGUGGCAACCUGCAGGCAGAGAAGAUGGGAGAGAGGGAGAGAAGGAAUGAGAGGAGGGAGGUCCGACGGCGGACAGGAGAGGGUCAGCGGCCUGUGCCGGCGAGGUCAGGUGUGACCUGGCAGACCUGGCAAUUGAUGGCGGCCACUCCUGGAUCCUUCUUCCACUUCCCCACUGCCUACCACCAAGCACGGGUCAGGGAGCAUGGGAUUGACGACGGCGGUCGAAAGCCAGGAUGGUUGGCUGAGGAAGAGGGUGAGGACUUGAGGAUUGAAGAGGGUUGCUAUGGAGACUGUUCUUUGCAAGGGUAAAGCAUCAUCAGCACUGGUGGUGGUUGGAUCAUUAGAUGAUUCCCAGUAACUAGGUAUGUCUUCUUAACCAGGUGGACAUUUCCCCAGAUUGGCUCCUCCACAUGUUUCAGACUGACAAAUCAUGACAAUCCUCUUCUUAAAGUACAAAAUGAUGUAGCUAUCUCCACAUGCUUUGAUGAUAUCUUUUUCGUAUGGUUGGAUGGUUCCUUAUCACCGUGAUUCAUAUAAAACUUUGUGAAUUGUAGUGUCAUGAUGAUUUCAUAAGACACAAGGCUUUAAUGUAUAUUUGGAAAGCACAUAAAUGUGAAGAAUCAAUGGUGAAAAUAAGUAAAACACUCUCUAUAUGUUUCCAUUGACAUGAUCAGUGGCUCCAUUUUCUUUGGUAAGUAAUGCUAGGCUACAGGUUAAUAUAUUUUACCAUGCCCAGCUGUUUUUCUCAGUUUCUCCUCUAAAACAUAGACAUCAUUUUCAUUCGGAUUUCAUCCUUAUUAGUUUUAUUUUAUAUGCAUUGAAUAUAACUAUGCAAGUAUAGGUACAAGCAUUGCCAUGACAUACAUCCCAUUUUGAGUUUUAUUCAGUCCUCUUGUCAUUGUUAUUGCGAUCUUAUUUUGCCUCUGUAAAAAUGGGGUAUAUGUCAUGGUUGUUUAACAGAAGGGAGGUGCAUAAGAACAGAUUUGGUGUUCAUCCGCAAUGUGAGUGCUUUCUGCAACUCCAUUUUGUCGAUAUUUUCUGCGAGACAUGAACACCAAAUCUAUUUAUCUAACAUGUUUUGCAUGUUUUGUCGAGUGCUUUCCUGUGUUUUUAUCUAUGGUCUUUUUUAUCAUAUCUAAUAUCCAGCAUUAUACCAUGUCUCACAGAAUUGCUGAUUCUGCACAUACACCUACUUAUUUUACUUCUGUGACAUGCGGUACAAUUUUUCUCUGGGUUGCAGGAUAGGCGAGGCGAUGAUCCAAAAAAUUGGAAAGAAUGGUGCUCCCAUGUUCUCUCUUAUCCAGGAAAAUCAAUACAGCAAAAUGUGUGUUUAAUAAACCUUGCAUUGCUGCAAAAAUUAAUAUUAUGUUUGUGAAUCUAAUGCCAUUGUGGAUAUCAUGAAGAAGAGGGACAUGUUUGUUGCAUUUGAAGGUGUACUUAUGAGUGCAAGGGAGCCUCGAGGAUUUGGGUUUGGGUUUGUCCAGUACUUCAAUCCUGAUGAUGCUGCAGAUGGAAAAUACUACAUGGACGGACAGGUUAUUUGUGGCAAACAAGUAACAGUUUUAUUUGCAUAACAGAACAAAAAGAAGCCUGCUAAGGGGUGUCCCGCGGCAGAUGCGCGCCCAAUGACGCUGUGGAGCUGUCAACUCCCACCCAGAUCGCCACAGAGAACAGUGAAGCAUCCUCCCUUCUCCCUUCCGGUUGCAUCUCCGCCGGGCUUGUCUUAGUGACACAGGCAUGCUGAAGCAAAGAUCCUUUUCCUUCUUUGCAUCCCUCAUUCUCUGUUUUUUCUCACAAUGAAGCACCUUGCUUCUCCACGGCAUUCAACCCAUGAUGGUGUGACUACAGGUGGAUUACAACAUCUUUACCUGAUAAACAUGGAAUAUACAAGAGGAAGGAGCAACUGCAGCAAGCAGUGAUGCUUCAGGCGCUGAUGUGAGGAUUACUGCAUUUGAGAGCAGAGGAAGACAAACGUAAAACUAUCAUGUUCGCUUCCGCCAUUCAUGCCGAGCGGGAUGCGUGGCAGAGGGGAUUUCUUUUCCGCGAAAACCGGAAGAGAGGAUAUUGAAGCCACCUUUGCCAACAUAGAUGAAGAUGGGAGGAUUGGCCAACUUUGGACUCCAACGGCAGCGAUGAUGAUGAAGACUUGAGCUAUGACUAUGAGUCCGAGUAGUAGAAGAAUCAUUUAUGUUUUUGUGCUUUGUCGACAGGGAUUAGAUUUGUUACAAAUAGAACUCUAUGCUACCAAAUUUUAAUGUGCAUAUACUUUUCAUUGUAGACAGCAAGCCCCUGUUUUUCCAGGAGAUUAAAUUUGUUGUCAUAUGUGCUUGCCUGUAACUAAGCAACUAAACCAUGGAUUACUUUUCAUCGCUAA